CUGAUGCAGCCAUGCCGCGUGUGUGAAGAAGGCCUUCGGGUUGUAAAGCACUUUCAGCGAGGAGGAAAGGUUGGUGCCUAAUACGUAUCAGCUGUGACGUUACUCGCAGAAGAAGCACCGGCUAACUCCGUGCCAGCAGCCGCGGUAAUAC
rnacentral:rRNA from 1 species